rnacentral:rRNA from 1 species
AGAUUCCCCCAGUAGCGGCGAGCGAACGGGGAGCAGCCCAGAGCCUGAAUCAGUAUGUGUGUUAGUGGAAGCGUCUGGAAAGGCGCGCGAUACAGGGUGACAGCCCCGUACACAAAAAUGCACAUGCUGUGAGCUCGAUGAGUAGGGCGGGACACGUGGUAUCCUGUCUGAAUAUGGGGGGACCAUCCUCCAAGGCUAAAUACUCCUGACUGACCGAUAGUGAACCAGUACCGUGAGGGAAAGGCGAAAAGAACCCCGGCGAGGGGAGUGAAAAAGAACCUGAAACCGUGUACGUACAAGCAGUGGGAGCACGCUUAGGCGUGUGACUGCGUACCUUUUGUAUAAUGGGUCAGCGACUUAUAUUCUGUAGCAAGGUUAACCGAAUAGGGGAGCCGAAGGGAAACCGAGUCUUAACUGGGCGUUAAGUUGCAGGGUAUAGACCCGAAACCCGGUGAUCUAGCCAUGGGCAGGUUGAAGGUUGGGUAACACUAACUGGAGGACCGAACCGACUAAUGUUGAAAAAUUAGCGGAUGACUUGUGGCUGGGGGUGAAAGGCCAAUCAAACCGGGAGAUAGCUGGUUCUCCCCGAAAGCUAUUUAGGUAGCGCCUCGUGAAUUCAUCUCCGGGGGUAGAGCACUGUUUCGGCAAGGGGGUCAUCCCGACUUACCAACCCGAUGCAAACUGCGAAUACCGGAGAAUGUUAUCACGGGAGACACACGGCGGGUGCUAACGUCCGUCGUGAAGAGGGAAACAACCCAGACCGCCAGCUAAGGUCCCAAAGUCAUGGUUAAGUGGGAAACGAUGUGGGAAGGCCCAGACAGCCAGGAUGUUGGCUUAGAAGCAGCCAUCAUUUAAAGAAAGCGUAAUAGCUCACUGGUCGAGUCGGCCUGCGCGGAAGAUGUAACGGGGCUAAACCAUGCACCGAAGCUGCGGCAGCGACGCUGAUGCGUUGUUGGGUA